GACGAACGCUGGCGGCGUGCUUAACACAUGCAAGUCGAGCGAUGAAGCACCUUCGGGUGUGAAUUAGCGGCGAACGGGUGAGGAACACGUGAGAAAUCUGCCUUCAACACUGGGAUAACUCCGGGAAACCGGGGCUAAUACCGGAUAUGAAACCUGCGGGCAUCCGCGGGUUUGGAAAGUUUUCGGUUGAAGAUGAUCUCGCGGCCUAUCAGCUUGUUGGUGAGGUAAUGGCUCACCAAGGCGACGACGGGUAGCCGGCCUGAGAGGGCGACCGGCCACACUGGGACUGAGACACGGCCCAGACUCCUACGGGAGGCAGCAGUGGGGAAUAUUGGGCAAUGGAGGAAACUCUGACCCAGCGACGCCGCGUGCGGGAUGAAGGCCUUCGGGUUGUAAACCGCUUUCAGCAGGGAAGAAGCGAAAGUGACGGUACCUGCAGAAGAAGCACCGGCUAACUAUGUG
rnacentral:rRNA from 1 species